rnacentral:rRNA from 1 species
GGGUUCAUACGUUGGUCGGGCUAUUUGGUCUGUACUUAUGUAAUGGAUUCCUACCUUCUGAAUAACCGGCAUGCCAUUAAUUUAGCGUGGUGGGAAACCAGGACCUUUACCUUGAAAAAAUUAGAGUGUUCAAAGCAGGCUUACGUCUGAAUACAUUAGCAUGGAAUAAUAGAAUAGGACGGUGGUCCUGUUUUGUUGGUUUCUGAAUCACCGUA